rnacentral:misc_RNA from 1 species
GAAAUCCGCCUUCGGGUGGAGAGUAAAGUUGCCCACGGGUGAGUAACACGUGGGUAAUCUGCCCUCGGAACCGGGAUAACCCGCCGAAAGGUGGGCUAAUACCGGAUGACAUCACGUCACAUAAGUGGCGUGAUCAAAGGCGGCUACGGCUGCUGUCCGGGGAUGAGCCCGCGGACCAUUAGCUAGUUGGCAGGGUAACGGCCUACCAAGGCUACGAUGGUUAGCUGGUCUGAGAGGACGACCAGCCACACUGGAACUGAGACACGGUCCAGACUCCUACGGGAGGCAGCAGUGGG